rnacentral:lncRNA from 1 species
AACGUCAUGGAGGGAGGAUGGCGUGGGGAGAGGGCCCAGCCUUCUCUUUGUCCGGGGCUGACCCCUGGUCCUCAGAAGCUGGGUGACCCUGCCUGCCUUCCUGUCUCAACCCCAGCCAAGUGGAGGAGGCUCCUCUUUGCACAGGGUUUUACAUGAUCAGCAGCUCGUUCAGGAGCCUGGGAAUACUCUUCAUUGAUCUUCAUUUCUGUUGUUUCAGGAUAUUCAAAAGUUUAGGGGGAGGAGUUCUGUGGUGCAGUGGAUUAAGGAUCCAGCACUGUCACUGCAGCCGCUUGGGUCACUGCUGUGGCAGGGGUUUGAUCCCCAGCCUGGGGACUUCCACAUGCUGUGGGAGUGGCCCCAAAAAACCCAGGGGUUGGGGGAACAACUACAGGCAUUGAGCCCCUCUUCUUAAACCCUCAAGUGACAGGCUGAAUCCCCUGUAGGGGGAGCAGUGUCAAACCAGAAGAGCAAACGCACUUUGAAUUAAGCUUGAAAAGCUGGCCCUCAGGAGGCUUGUGUAGCUUAACCGACUGUAGCAUAAGAAGGCAGCUUCCCUGAAGUGGGUGUGGAGGGAGCACAGUCCCAACAGGAUGCGGCUCCACUGAGCCACUGAGCGUCUAUAAGAAUAAAUCUGUCUGAAGGCCUGGGAGUUUUAGGUCCUGCCAUCUGGCUAGAGAAGCAGACAGGUUUCCUUCUGUGUUGAUGGGAUUUCCCAAGUGACCUGGUUGAAAACCACUUCCAGAAGCUGGUGUACAGCUACGUGUAAGGAAGGCUGACCCACCUCCAGGCAGGGGUACAUCUGGAGGGGUCUGAGAAAGACUUAGCUGGGUUGUAAUGGGAACAGUUAAACCCAGAAAGUCCACUGGGAGAGUCAGGAGACAGGGGACCCUCAUCGCUGAAGUCAUCUGAAAUCUUUGCACAUAACCACAUUCUGUACCGUCUUAGAGCAGAUUGCUUCCUCGUAGUUAAAUAAGCUAAACCAGAGUUUCUCAAACAUGAGCAACAUGUUGUGCCUCUUAAAGGAAGGGCUUCUUGCAGACCCUUGUGUUUGUCUGGGGCUCACUUGGCAGCACCCAAUCUUCAGAUGAGCCAGGAUGGCUGGAAGUCUUGACUUAGAUUAUCACUGAAGUGGAAAAAAACCCAAACAAACAACACCACACUUUAAAAAGGUCAGAGAAGUCAAAAACCCCAGAGACUACAUCCUGAGACCCUGAGGUGGAAGAAAGGUCUGUGAAACCUGUGAGCUGUGGAAGAGAGACAUUCCCAGCUUAAUACUCAGAGUCCUGUGAAAAGUGAGCAACACCCAGCUGAAGCUACGCAGCCUCUCUGUGGGUUACUGCCCUCCAGAGAGAUGCUCCCUGCCCUGAAGAAGUGCUCCUGGCCUGUGGAUGCCGGGGUUCCUCUCCCACCUCUGUGGAGGGGACCAUUCUAGGUUUGUCUCUGACCAUCACACACACUCUCAGGGUUAGUGAUGGGGAGGCAGUGGGCAAGAUGGAAGCACAGGAAGGCCAUGCCAGGUGCACGGGCAGGUCAGAGGCUGGUCCACAUGCCUGUCUCGGGUGCAGCACAGGGCAGCCAUGACACGUGGUCACUUGACUGACACAGGUUUGAAUCUUGCCUGGAGGCAAGAAGGCUGGUGAUUGACUCUAGCUGACUAUCCAGCAUCUGUCUCUCCUGCUGCAUUUACACAAGUCCCAUGUGAAAAACCAGCCCUGUAAAGAAAAAAAAGCUAGAGAGGGAAAAGAAGAAAUUUAAUAAAAGGGUGACUUCAUGUUUGUGUCCCCCUAGAAUUCAUAUAUUGAAAUCCAUCCCCCCACACUCAGUGUGAUGGCAUUAGGAGGUGAGUGCGGAUGCCCAAUGAAUGGGAUUAGUGUUCUUAUAAAGAGAUCCCCCCUCAAGUGCUCUCUCACUCCUCCUGCCACGUGAGGACACAGCGAGAAGUCAACAGAUGGUCUCCCCGAAACAGAGCCUUAGUGAGAACCUGGUCAUGCUGGCACCAUGACUUCAGAUUUCCAGCCUCCAGGACUAUGGGAAGUAGAUUUCUGUGUGGAUAAGACACCCAGUUUAUGGCAUUUUGUUACAGCAGCCUGAGCUAAGACAGGCUGGCUUUAAGUUAAAGAGUGGUUUUUAAAUUUGGGGUUAGUUAAACACGAUGAAUGUAAUACAGCAUUCAUGGUAGAACUUCAUAAAUGACUUUAGGCUUAUAUUUACAAAAUCAUUAAAAGUCACGUAUUUUUCAAUUUCAUGGGGAAAAGUACAGAUUAGAGGAUGCGGUUGGGUUCCUUGGGCUGUAACGGGUGAAGACCAGAAGUAAGGAUUCGUGGGCAGCAGAGAGGGCCAUGAAAUGAAACUGAGCCAUCACAGGCCUGACCCCAUGGCGUCUAGAGUCUGGAGGAGGGUUUUGGAUUGGGGUCAGCUCUAGAGACGCUUAGUGCAGGAAUUCACACUCCUCACCCUAGUGUGUGAUUGUCAGUGUGACUCGGCUCUGAGUGACUGUCUUUCUGACCCAGUACCAGCUGACUUCCUCCUCUUGUCCACAGUUUGAGUCCUCUGACUCUGAGCUUGCUCAGGGUCCACAGUGGCUUCUCAGGCCUCCUCUAUGACCAUCUCUCAAUAACAGUUUCUGUUGCUACCUGGCUUGGUCCUUAACUUUUUCUGUUCUGUAGAGCAGCCCAGUUUAUCCUUUCGUCCAGCCUGUUGGGCAUAAUCUGUGGGCUCCCAGCCAAGAGUGGGUUGUCCCUUCAACUGUGGUGAGAAGUGUUCAUGGACGUGACAUGCUCAUUGCCCCUUAGGAGGGUCACGGACAGGAAAGAAUCCUUUCAAAGGUGGUGUGGCUGUACCUCCACCAUGGUCCUGUUCAUGACUUUCGUUAUUCCUGAAGUUUUCUAUUUAAUUUUUUUAUUUGGAAACUUAGGAUGUUGCAAGAAUAGUAAAAAGAAAUCCUGUAAAUCCUUUAUCCAGAUUCACCCAUUGUCAAUAUUUUGCCAUUUUGGUUUUCUAGGCCAAGUUUUUAAUAAAUUUGUAUUAGGUAUAAAUUAGGAAUCCCUCAUCCCCCUUCUGCCCACCCUAACUUUUUCUACCCCCUCCCCCCCGCCAUGUUUUGAUGAAAAGAAAUGACAGAAGCUAUGAUGGGUGGAUUCUCAGGAAAGAACUUGUCAGAAAAGUCAUGGAGCUGUUCAAUUUCUUUUUGUCUUUUUUAGGGUUGCACCUAAAGCAUAUGGAAGUUGCCAGGCUAGGGGUUGGAUCAGAACUGUGGCUGCUGGGCUACACCACAGCCACAGCAACACCAGAUCUGAACCACGUCUGUGACCUACACCACAGCUGAAGGCAGCCCUGGAUCCUUAGCCCACUGAGUGAGGCCAGGGAUUGAACUCUCAUCCUUAUGGAUACUAGUUGGAUUUGUUUCUGCUGCACCACAGUGGGAACGCCAAUCUAGUGGUAUUUUUAAUGCACAUGACAAAGUCAAUGCAAUUAAAGUUUAAGAAAAGAUGAAGAAAAUGGCAUUUUAGAUACUCCAAAAAAACCAUACCCAUAGCAACUGAAAUCCUGGAUAAAUAUUAAAUGUAUUUUAAACGUGUACUUUUAAAAUGUAUACUAUGCAAAUUUUAAUAUUUUAAAAAGACAUAAUUUACAAUAGCAAUAAAAUAUUAUUUGCCUAGCAGUAAAUUUGGCAGAAGAUAAUGCAAUCUUUUUAAAGGAGAAAGUCAACAAAUUAGGGGGUCUUUAGAGGUGGUAAGACUUAUUAUAAUGUUAUAGUAUUUAAAGGAAGGCGCUGACUCAAAAUUCAAUAGAACAGAUAGAGACCCAGAGGUAGACCCAGACAUGUAAGAAAACUUAAGUUCUAUCAGAGAUAGUAAGGCAGAUCAGUGGGGAAUUGAUGGGAUAUUCAAUAAAUAAUGCUCAGGCAAGAGGUUAUCUUUUUCUUUUUUUUUUUGGUCUUUUUUAGUGCCUCACCCAUAGCAUAUGGAAGUUCCUAGGCUAGGGGUGGAAUCGGAGCUGCAGCUGCUGGCCUACACCACAGCCACAGCAAAAGAGGUUAUCCUUGUAUCUCAAGAGGGAAAAGAAAUGAAAUGGGACCGUUAUAUCACUCCACACUCAAAAAUCAAUUCCUGGCAGAUUAAAGACACUUACGUAAAAAGGAAAACACAGAAAAUGUUUAGAAUACUGUAUGAGAAAAAAAUUUUUUUUUUAGGAGUUCCCGUCGUGGCGCAGUGGUUAACGAAUCCGACUAGGAACCAUGAGGUUGCGGGUUCGGUCCCUGCCCUUGCUCAGUGGGUUAACGAUCCGGUGUUGCCCUGAGCUGUGGUGUAGGUCGCAGACGCGGCUCGGAUCCCGAGUUGCUGUGGCUCUGGCGUAGGCCGGUGGCCACAGCUCCGAUUCAACCCCUAGCCUGGGAACCUCCAUAUGCCGCGGCCCAAGAAAUAGCAA